ACCCGCCUCCGAUUCCCCACGCGCCGACUUCCGGUCUUUUUCUAAGUCUAUUGGCCAGCCUCUCUGACUAUCGCGUCACGACCUUAAAGUGGAUUAGUGGGCCUUGUGGUCAGGCACAGUGACCCCUGACAAUGGGAAACUUCAUUCGUGCCACAAAGUGUCGAUCACUUUGUCACAGGACGUCGCGUGGAACAAUUGGCCGGUAAGGGUACCAUUCAUCCCGCCCCCAUCCGAGGUGACGGGAAAGGGUUGGGGAAUUUCCACUCUUGAUUAAAUUGACGGCUGAAGUGACGACCUGCAAGCACUGGUGCUUUCUGGAGUAAAUUCACCCAGCACUUGGGGAGGCUUGUACGUCAAGGGUGCCAGAGGCGCGGAGGCAACGCAGCCCCCACCUGUCGCUCCCCGCCAGGCGCGGAGAGUUGCUGCACGGGGAUUGGAGGGAAGAAGCUAUCAGUCUCCGCUAGGGUCCGCCUCCCCGCCAGUCCCUGGUUGGAGGAGGGGCGCGUCAGUCACUAGAGAGGUCGCCGCCUCUGGGACAGACUGUCCAUGUGGGCCAGGGAGAUGACAGUGGCUGAGACGUACCAGGGCAGCCCAAGCGCUGACGUGAGCAGCAUGAGCGCAGCCACACAGAAGAGGUCCAGGUGGAAGCCAGCUCCCUUCUGCAGACAGGGCCCGAGGCCGAGAGCCCGUUCUCUCCCCCAGAAAGAGGUGACACUCACCACGGAGGGGAAGAAGCGGCUGGUCUUGAGGUGCUUGAGAGCCAUGGCAAAGAAGAAGGAGGUUAGGAAGAGGAGGACGGAGAAGACGGCGACGUCCGGGACCGUGUGACAGCCAGGGCCACGAGGGUGGCCUCCCCGCCGGGCACACUCAGGUGGGGGCAGCAAGGAUGCGUUGACCAGGCCUAGGUCCUGUGCGGAGAGGUGGUGAGACACGGCGGUAGGAGCGGACCACUGAGGCCCCGAGGACGCGAGGCAGAGCUCCAGCCACCGCCAAUGGCUGGGCCUCAGUGGCCUGUGGGGGGUGGGAAGAGCCAGGAACCACUGGCUUCUUUGGCCUGCACCCGCUCUUCUCCACGCCCUCCGGGGAACAGGCCCUCACCAAGCUUAAGAUGUCAUCUUCGACUUUUGGCUUCGUGCUUGUCCACUGAGACUCGUUUCCUGGGAAGCAGAGAAGAAUUCAGGCGUAUCUUCCCCUAAUCAGGAGCCUGAUCUCACAGGCCCAGAGGGUUCUUGGUUCUGAUUCACCUGUCUGCUGCCUCCAAUCACUACAAGUCCGUCCUCAGGACAUUGCCUCGCGCCCUGGUCCCUUCAGAUUCCCUGCCUAACAGACUCCCUGCUCCUCAGCACAGGCCUGGCGAAAGCAGAUCCCCAGCAAAUGGAUGAGCACACCAAUCUGUGUUUCCAUCCGGGCCAGAAUGGGUCCCGUCCAUGUCUAGUACGGGGCGGCACCCUCGAGCGGACACCUCUUCCCUGGUCUGCUGUUUCUGACCUUGUGGAGGGAUCUGGGCGAGUGUAACACUCCAAGCUUCUUGCCACCCAGUCACUCGGCCAAGGGCAAGCGUGGCAAUUUAUUUGAUUGGUGAAUUGGGGAGAAGACACUGGGCUUGCCUGGCCACGCCCCUCCGCGGAGUAGGCUGCAGGCACCGUGUGUGCAUUUAGCUCAGCUCCUCUGGGGCGAGACAGUCCCUGUCUUUGCAGCCAUGACCGCCUGGGUGAGUCCGUCCAUCUAAGUCUGGUUUCCUCAUUCGGAAGCCCGCUCGCUCAUAGCUGUAACGGUGUUCUUCUCUCAGCCUUGUCAGAAGUAAAGAUGAUAUUGGGCCUGCUCUGUAGACUUAUUUUCACCUGACUCAGAACUAGAGCACUGCUGGUUACUAGCGCCUGGGGCCAGCCCAGCAGCUCGUUGAGCUGAAUGAAGAGCAGGAGGUCCUUGGGAUCCCCCAGUUUCCCGCUGGCCGCGUCUAAGGGAUCAUCAGGUCUGGGCCCAGAGCCAGAGUCAUUGUCCAGCUCUCCUGUGGGCACAUUUUCACAAGCUCUGGAGACUUCAAACUCUUCCUGGCCUGACAGCUUCAUCUCGAUGGAAGUUCCUGGGCCAGGAAUUGAACCCAUGCCACAACAGUGACCCAAGCCGCUGCAGUGACAAUGCUGGAUCCUUAACUGGCUGCACCUCAAGAGAAUGCCAAAAUAAACAUUUUUAGAAGAUAAUCAAGCGAUAUUACUCUUCUGCUCAAAACCCACCCUGUGCAUCCUCAUUACUCCUGGAAGAAUAUCCGACCUCUGUCAUGGCCUCUAAGAUCUGACGUAUAGCCUGGUCCCAGCCCGCCUCCCUGAUAGACUCUCAUACUAUUCUGUGCUUCCUCGAUCCUUUCCAGCAACUCUGAGCUCCCUCUGUUCCCCAAAGCCCCCCUCUGUUCCUGCAGUAACCCUUCUCUCAACAAGGAAAGCUUCCCCCCCAGAUCUUCACCUAGGUCUCAUCGCAGACAUUCCCUACUCAGGAACAUCUCCUUUUUUCAUCCUGUCCUAAGUUUCUCCAUCUUAUUUUUGUUUUAUUUUCUUCCUAGCAAUUAUCACUGGUAGUAACUGCCUUGUUUAUUAUUUAUCAUUUAUUGCUUGCUCCUCCACACGUGCGUGCAUGCACGUACGCGCGCGCGCACACACACACACCCAGAAGAAUGCGCUGUCCACGGAGCAGGUAUGUUAUCUAUCUUCUUCACCGUUGCCCCUAGAGCACCUAGUCACACUCAAUAAAUACUACUUCAAUGAGCUCACAGAAGGGGAGGGGUUGAGAAAUGAGCGGCGCUGCUCCCAGAGGCCACACGAGGGCGCUGCUCCCCGCGGACCGGAUCGCUAGGGCCUCUCCCUUGGUCCAAGGGUCGGUCGGGUUUCCUUUCCCGGCGGACCCACCACGCGCAGAGGUGGCCUGGAGGGUUCCAGGAACUUCUGCCUUGCCCUCCCCCACGGCAGAUUGGCUUGGUGCGAUGAGCUAUGGCGAGGAGCGCAACAGGGGUGGGGAGAGAAACCCAUCAGGCUCAUCUGAAUGUGUGUCAAACCCCCCAUGGGACACCUGUUACCCGUUCCUCCCCUCCCCACCAACCCUAGGUCUGGAUUUAGGGCUAACCGCUCCAAGUCCAAGGAGGUCCCAGGACAGCAAUUAGGGGAGCGAGUCACCGUAUUACCAGUGGGGGACUGAGGGCUGAGUCUGAGUGGAGGGAGUUGGUUUCGUUCCCAGGAUGAACAGAAACUGGCCUAGGGCUUGAGAGGGCGGGGAAUCCCCUAGCCACCCCCUCCAAGAAUGUGUCCCAACCUCAGGGGCAAGUGACUCAAGGGAGUCUGGAGGGGACAGGAGCUGGAUUUAGCAUGAAUACCCCCUCACAAGCACGCCCUCCCUUUCCACCCCCGCCAAGUUCAGAGGGUCUGCCCUUGCCCUCUCUAUGGCCCAGCUUCCCUGGCUCCCGAUGCUGCCUGUGUUAGAGGGCCGCCAUGCCUCUGCUCUCCCCCGGCCCCUCUUUCUGCUGGGUCUCAAGGGCCCUGAGCUGUACAGGUUGGUGGAUGAGAGCCAGGGUCCGCCUGUGGGCACGAGCAGUCUCCCAGUGAGGGUGUGCGGGGUGGGCCGGCAGCCCUGGGAGACACCCAGGCUCAGGCGUUCAAAGACCUGGUACUCAUCCUGGCUCAGUCACAGACGUAUUGGGAGUCUUUGGGCCAAACCCUUCCCCCCUCUGAGCCUGUUUGUUUCCACCGAAACUGAGAUGGUUGGAGUAGAUGAUUUCCAAGAUUCAAAGCAGACCUGUAGCAGUCCACUGAGCCGGCCCUGAGGGGGAGGGAGUGGUGUCACCAAGAGGCUGCCUGGUUGCAAAUCCUGGCUGGGUCCCUUUCUAGCAAGUGGAGAAGAGAUUUAUCUUUGUAGAACCUGAGUUUUCUUAUCAGCAAAUGGAGGAAAAUACAAGUGCCUACAUCAUAGGUUUUAUUAGAUGGAACAGGGCAUUAAAAGAGGGCUGGUACAUAGUAUACACAAUGAAGGGAGCCUGUCAUAUAACUAUGAAGAAAGAAUGUAUCAUACACCGAACCGUCAGUUGUCUCCAACCACUGUACAAGGCGUAUUAUCUCAUGUCAUCCUUACGACAAGCUUUUUAAAAAACUUUUAAUAAAAAAAAAAACUAUUUGAGUCUAAUUAUAGAAGACCUGUAGAAAAAGUCGCCCAAAAACUAGGUCUCUGGCUGGUACUGUUCAUCCAGCUUCCCCCCAGGGUAACAUCUUACUCAGCAAUAAUACAAUAUCAAAACAAGGAUGAAGGAGUUCCCAUUGUGGCUCAGUGGUAACAAACCCAGCUAGUAGCCAUGAGGAUGU